GCAUCGGUAGUUCAAUAACUAGAAUGCUCGUCUGCCACGCGGGCGGCCCGGGUUCGAUUCCCGGCCGAUGCA